rnacentral:rRNA from 1 species
AACGAACGCUGGCGGCAUGCCUAACACAUGCAAGUCGAACGAGACCUUCGGGUCUAGUGGCGCACGGGUGCGUAACGCGUGGGAACCUGCCCUUAGGUUCGGAAUAACUCCCCGAAAGGGGUGCUAAUACCGGAUAAUGUCUUCGGACCAAAGAUUUAUCGCCUUUGGAUGGGCCCGCGUUGGAUUAGCUAGUUGGUAGGGUAAAAGCCUACCAAGGCGACGAUCCAUAGCUGGUCUGAGAGGAUGAUCAGCCACACUGGGACUGAGACACGGCCCAGACCCCUACGGGAGGCAGCAGGGGGGAAAAUUGGACAAUGGGCAAAAGCCUAAUCCAGCAAUGCCGGGUGAGUGAAGAAGGCCUUAGGGUUGUAAAGCUCUUUUACCCGGGAUGAUAAUGACAGUACCGGGAGAAUAAGCCCCGGCUAACCCCGU